CAGUAGCCGCGGGAAUACGUAGGGUGCGAGCGUUAAUCGGAAUUACUGGGCGUAAAGCGUGCGCAGGCGGUUGUGUAAGACAGGUGUGAAAUCCCCGGGCUUAACCUGGGAACUGCGCUUGUGACUGCACAGCUAGAGUAUGGCAGAGGGGGGUGGAAUUCCACGUGUAGCAGUGAAAUGCGUAGAGAUGUGGAGGAACACCGAUGGCGAAGGCAGCCCCCUGGGCCAAUACUGACGCUCAUGCACGAAAGCGUGGGGAGCAAACAGGAUUAGAUACCCGUGUAGUCCCUGUCUCUUAUAC
rnacentral:rRNA from 1 species